rnacentral:rRNA from 1 species
UACGGGGGGGGCAAGCGUUGUUCGGAAUUACUGGGCGUAAAGGGCUCGUAGGCGGCCAACUAAGUCAGACGUGAAAUCCCUCGGCUUAACCGGGGAACUGCGUCUGAUACUGGAUGGCUUGAGGUUGGGAGAGGGAUGCGGAAUUCCAGGUGUAGCGGUGAAAUGCGUAGAUAUCUGGAGGAAUACCGGUGGCGAAGGCGGCAUCCUGGACCGACAUUGACGCUGAGGAGCGAAAGCUAGGGGAGCAAACGGG